rnacentral:rRNA from 1 species
UAAGAAGGGGGCUAGCGUUGUUCGGAAUUACCGGGCGUAAAGCGCGUGUAGGCGGGCCGUUAAGUCGGGGGUGAAAGCCCAGAGCUCAACUCUGGAAUUGCCUUCGAUACUGGCGGCCUGGAGCAUGAUAGAGGCGAGUGGAAUUGCGAGUGUAGAGGUGAAAUUCGUAGAUAUUCGCAGGAACACCAAUGGCGAAGGCGACUCGCUGGAUCAUUGCUGACGCUGAGACGCGAAAGCGUGGGGAGCAAACAGG